rnacentral:rRNA from 1 species
GACGAACGCUGGCGGCGUGCUUAACACAUGCAAGUCGAACGGAAAGGCCCUGCUUUUGUGGGGUGCUCGAGUGGCGAACGGGUGAGUAACACGUGAGUAACCUGCCCUUGACUUUGGGAUAACUUCAGGAAACUGGGGCUAAUACCGGAUAGGAGCUCCUGCUGCAUGGUGGGGGUUGGAAAGUUUCGGCGGUUGGGGAUGGACUCGCGGCUUAUCAGCUUGUUGGUGGGGUAGUGGCUUACCAAGGCUUUGACGGGUAGCCGGCCUGAGAGGGUGACCGGCCACAUGGGGACUGAGAGACGGCCCAGACUCCUACGGGAGGCAGCAGUGGGGAAUAUUGCACAAUGGGCGGAAGCCUGAUGCAGCAACGCCGCGUGCGGGAUGACGGCCUUCGGGUUGUAAACCGCUUUCGCCUGUGACGAAGCGUGAGUGACGGGAAUGGGUAAAGAAGCACCGGCUAACUACGU